rnacentral:misc_RNA from 1 species
AACUAGCGGAUAACCAUCAUCACUGCAGCCAAAAAAAGAAACUAUUGAGGUUAAAUCAUUGGCCAAAAGAAAGUUGACUUGAGCAUGGGGAAAAAUGAACAUACUCUGAAGUUAGGCCAGAACAUUACAAACAAAACCCAAAAGAAUAACAAAGAAAAUUCAGAAAGACGAUGAAGAGGAAAACAAGUUUCGAUGUUCAGGAACUGCUUGAGAUGACAACAACAUAGCUGUAAGAUACUAGGUCUCAGAAAACAAUGAACAAGAAAGAGCAAUGACAACAAACACAUGCUUUUCUGUGCGUGGACAACCUCAUUAAAGCUGUUAUAUGGCAUGAGCAAGUGGCAUACCAUGAACUAAAUGGAAG